GACCUUGCGUCAACAGCCGAAGCGCUUCGCGCAAGGCUGACGGCUGGUGGCUCAUGCCACCGGCCU
rfam:Pseudomonas resinovorans NBRC 106553 DNA, complete geonome.